rnacentral:lncRNA from 1 species
GGGGCGUGACAACUUUUAUGGUAUUAGAGCAUUAGUGGAUGAAUUAUAACAUAUAGAAUGAAACAUAGGAUAAGUGUAGAUGGGUAGACACUAAAGACAUUGAUGUGUAUAUCUAUGAUGAUUGUAGCAUAAGGUAUCUUUAUAAUUUUUGGUUAAAUCUUAUGAUUAUUUAUGAAAGGACUACAAGGGAUUACGACAUAUAAAGUUUGAUAUAUGACAGGCAAUCUAUGGAUUAUGGUAUAAUUAGUUGAUUUUGAUCUAAAUAAUUGUAAGAUGAUUGAUCAUGUAAUUUUAUCAUACAUUGUGAUUAUUAUUGAUCAUUAAUAGUUGGAGUGAAUUGCAAGCUUAAACUUGAUAUGAGAGGCAAACUAUAUGAUAUUGCCUCUGGCUUUGAAGUUAAUUACUUAAUGGCAAGAUAAGUAUUCAUUCUUGGAAAGUUGUCUAUGAUUUGGACUAAGAAAAGAAGAAUCUUUUAUGAUAUUUGAUUAGAAUAUUUUUUGAAGUUGAACUUGAUAUGCGGAUCAUGUAUAAACUGGCA